rnacentral:rRNA from 1 species
AUAUUAUUAUGCGGAGGAAAAGAAACUAACAAAGACUCCCCUAGUAAUGGCGAAUGAACGGGGAACAGUGUUUCACUGCCGGGAACUGUGGUGUUUAGGCAAGCCUUUCCGGCAUUUCGAGGCAGUCAAAAUCCCCUUGAGGGGGCCAUGGCCCAUAGCGGGUACAAGGCCCAUACGACGUCUCUUGUGUCGGUUGGAGAUGCCGUGGUCGGGUUGCUUGAGAGUGCAGCCCAAAGUGGGUGGUAAACCCCAUCUAAGGCUACAUAUAACCACGAGACCGAUAGCGCACAAGUA